rnacentral:rRNA from 1 species
GUGCCAGCCGCCGCGGUAAUACGGAGGGUGCAAGCGUUAAUCGGAAUUACUGGGCGUAAAGCGUGCGUAGGCGGCCUGUUAAGUCAGAUGUGAAAGCCCCGGGCUUAACCUGGGAACUGCAUCUGAUACUGGGAGGCUAGAAUGUGGGAGAGGAGAGUGGAAUUUCCGGUGUAGCGGUGAAAUGCAUAGAGAUCGGAAGGAACACCAGUGGCGAAGGCGGCUCUCUGGACCAACAUUGACGCUGAGGCACGAAAGCGUGGGUAGCAAACAGGAUUAGAUACCCCAGUAGUCC